rnacentral:rRNA from 1 species
UGAGGAAUAUUUUGCAAUGAGCGCAAGCUUGACAAAGCAUUGUCUUGUGAAGGAAGACAGUUUUUAAAAAUUGUAAACUUCUUUACUUAUAAAGUGACUAUAGACACUUAAGUAUAAAAAAGUAUCGGCAAACUCCGUGCCAGCAGCCGCGGUAAUACGGGGGAUACAAGUGUUAUUCGAAAUAACUGGGCGUAAAGCGUAUGUAGAUGGAUGUAUAUAUGCUUUUUAUUAUAAAAAAAAUAUUAUUAAUAAUAAUUAUAUUAUACAUCUAGAGUGUAUUAAGAGUAAAAGGAAUUUUUUGAGGAGUAGUGAAAUGCAAUGAUACAAAAAAGAACACCAAUAGCGAAAGCAUUUUACUAUAUUAUAACUGACAUUGAGAUACGAAAGUUAAGGAAGCAAAUG